rnacentral:rRNA from 1 species
UAGUCCACGCCGUAAACGAUGAAUACUAGGUGCAUGCAGAUACGUCUGUGUGUGUCGCAGCUAACGCAUUAAGUAUUCCGCCUGGGAAGUACGGUCGCAAGACUAAAACUCAAAGGAAUUGACGGGGCCCGCACAAGCGGUGGAGCAUGUGGUUUAAUUCGAUGCAACGCGAAGAACCUUACCUGGAUUUGACAUCCUGUGCCAACUCUAGAGAUAGAGCGUUCUCUUCGGAGACACAGUGACAGGUGCUGCAUGGCUGUCGUCAGCUCGUGUCGUGAGAUGUUGGGUUAAGUCCCGCAACGAGCGCAACCCUUAUCCUUAGUUGCCAGCAGGUUAUGCUGGGCACUCUAGGGAGACUGCCGGUGAUAAGCCGGAGGAAGGUGGGGGAUGACGUCAAGUCCUCAUGGGGCCUUUAUAUCCAGGGCUACACACGUGCUACAAUGGGAGUGACAAAGGGCAGCAAGACCGCGAGGUGGAGCAAA